AAACUGCGGUCCACAGUGCAACUCACCAUCAAUUUUCUUCUCGCCUUCUCAAACGUAAAACUCAGAGGUCAACUCACAACUCGUAUCUUUCUUCAUGUAACUCAUCCAAUCAUCCAUCCCUCUAGUCAGAGACUGACCUUCUUCUUGAUACUUGGCCCCUCUCAACCCCUUGCCUUCCCUUCUUCUUCUUCUUCUUCUCAGUUCUCACUCUCUCUUCGUCUUUGUCCUUCAUCUUCCUUUGCCUUAAAUCUUCAAAAUAACCCACAUACAGAUCCACACGAAUGUGCAUAGCCGCAAAGAGCCACAACGGAAG
rnacentral:lncRNA from 1 species